rnacentral:rRNA from 1 species
UACAGAGGGUGCGAGCGUUGUCCGGAAUCACUGGGCGUAAAGGGCGCGUAGGUGGUGGCUUAAGCGUGCGGUGAAAGCUCGGAGCAUCAACUCCGAGCUGGCCGUGCGAACUGGGCUCACUGGAGCAUAGUAGAGGCAGGUGGAAUUCCGGGUGUAGCGGUGGAAUGCGUAGAGAAUCCGGAAGAACACCGGUGGCGAAGGCGGUCUGCUGGGGUCGAACUGACGCUGAGGCGCGACAGCGUGGGGAGCAAACAGG